UACGUAGGGUGCAAGCGUUAAUCGGAAUUACUGGGCGUAAAGCGUGCGCAGGCGGUUUUGUAAGUCUGUCGUGAAAGCCCCGGGCUCAACCUGGGAAUUGCGAUGGAGACUGCAAGGCUUGAAUCUGGCAGAGGGGGGUAGAAUUCCACGUGUAGCAGUGAAAUGCGUAGAUAUGUGGAGGAAUACCGAUGGCGAAGGCAGCCCCCUGGGAUAACACUGACGCCUCAUGCACGAAAGCGUGGGGAGCAAACAGGA
rnacentral:rRNA from 1 species